UAUUAUGGUGAGUUAUCCAGUGGGACUGGGAGUGGGUGUCUAAUGUCUAGAGAUAGUCCCUGUUUUAUACACGUGAGGCUCGUAGGACCUGAGUGAUCGCCACAGCUCAAAACAACAAGGCCAAGAUUUUCCAUCCUUUACACUCGUUCAUGUUUAUUAAUCCAUGGUAGUGAAGAUUUUACAGUAAUGGUACUGCAGCAAAUAUCUUUAUUGUCUUCACUGUCAAGAUGUCCACUACUGGCAAGGAAAUAUCUAACUUCACAGAUCUUCUGUACCCGUUGGCGUCAGACUGCUGCCACUGUCCCUUAUGCACGAACUGUUCUAAGAAAUGAACAGAAAAAAAAUUCAUGUCACAAGUUCUUACAAAGAAGAAAUUUCUUUUCAUUUUUUAAGAAAAAUAAAUCUCCUGAAAAAUUCAGAGAGGAUGAUAACAUAUUGUCUCAUUAUGAACUAGUGUACAGUGCAGUCUCCAUUUCUUAUGUUAAGUUAGCCUUCGGAGGUGUGCAAACCGUAGCAGGGACUGUAUGUCUAACUUUGGGGGCUAUAGCUUGUGGAUUCCCUCUUGUAAACAAUGUAGUCCUUACAGAAGACCCAUUACAGGUUGGUACAUUCAUUACUCUCAAUUCAAUGCUGUGUUUAGGAAUUUAUAAAUUUUGCACAGUGUAUCCCCUCCGGAUUUAUUACAGUGAAGUAGAGGAUAACUUUAUACUGGUUUUUGUGGGUACACAUCCCUUAGCUGUUCGACAUUUGAAAGUUCCUCCUGGAGGUGUGAAACCAAAACCCCCUGGAAAAAUUAUAGCAGCUAUACUACCUUGGUCUGAGCUCUUGUACUCUACACCCACCCAGACUGUAUACUUGAAUGACCAUCACUUCAGGUAUCCUGUCUACUACAACAAGUUGUUGGGUUAUGUGUGAGAAUCCCAGUAACUGAUGUGCCAUGUAAUAGUUUUGUAAAAGUAGCUAGACUAUAUAUUUGUAUGAGGAAACUUUGUGAUAGUUGGGGUGUCCUUUAUUGUAGAUACAUCAAUAUUUACAAUAUCAUUUAUGCACUUUCAACUAAACCAAUUUAGAACCAGUACACUUUUAGCAAGAGCAACUCAUUAGGAACUUUGUUACAAAAUGCUAAACCAAGGAAAACUUAAAAAUCUUUUCAAACACAAAAAGGCUGUAAUCCUGCCAGUACAUGAAUAUCAAAUUAGCAAACACCAUAAAACUUAUGAAAUAUUUGAAAACAUGUUAAUUUUAUUACAUUUUCCCUGGCAAGCCUAUGAACCUGUGAACUAGGUGAUGUCUUCAUGUAGUAAACUUAAUCACGUUAAUAUCUAGUUGAGCCUGUUUAAGCCUAAUUGUUGUUUCAAUUUUGGUAUUAAAACCAUUUAAAACUU